rnacentral:rRNA from 1 species
AUUGAACGCUGGCGGCAUGCCUUACACAUGCAAGUCGAACGGCAGCAUGAUCUAGCUUGCUAGAUGGAUGUCGAGUGGCGAACGGGUGAGUAAUACAUCUGAACGUGCCCUGUAGUGGGGGAUAACUAGUCGAAAGAUUAGCUAAUACCGCAUACGACCUGAGGGGGAAAGUGGGGGACCGCAAGGCCGCAUGCUAUAGGAGCGGCCGAUGUCUGAUUAGCUAGUUGGUGAGGUAAAGGCUCACCAAGGCGACGAUCAGUAGCUGGUCUGAGAGGACGAUCAGCCCCACUGGGACUGAGACACGGCCCAGACUCCUACGGGAGGCAGCAGUGGGGAAUUUUGGACAAUGGGCGAAAGCCUGAUCCAGCAAUGCCGCGUGUGUGAAGAAGGCCUUCGGGUUGUAAAGCACUUUUGUCCGGAAAGAAAUGGAUCUGGUUAAUACCUGGGGUGGAUGACGGUACCGGAAGAAUAAGGCCCGGCUAACUACGUG